rnacentral:rRNA from 1 species
GAUGAACGCUGGCGGCGUGCCUAACACAUGCAAGUCGAGCGAAUAGAGGUGGUGCUUGAUUGUCUUUCGCUACCGGCGGAUGGGUGAGUCAUGCGUGACCAGCCUCCUUAUAGGGCUGGGCCUUCCUCGGGAAACAGGAGUACCUCCUGGGAUUUUAAUAUCACCUGAUGGUUCAAUUAUGGAAGCCGUCCUCGCUGAGAUUUAUCGGCGGCUCAGUGGCUAGUUGGUAAGUUAACGGCUUACCAGGGCAACGAGGCGUAGCCGACCUGAGAGGGUGAUCGGCCACACUGGAACUGAGACACGGUCCAGACUCCUACGGGAGGCAGCAGUAGGGAAUCUUCCGCAAUGGGCGAAAGCCUGACGGAGCAACGCCGCGUGAGUGAUGAAGGUCUUCGGAUCGUAAAACUCUGUUAUUAGGGAAGAACAAAUGUGUAAGUAACUAUGCACGUCUUGACGGUACCUAAUCAGAAAGCCACGGCUAACUACGUG